rnacentral:rRNA from 1 species
GACGAACGCUGGCGGCGUGCUUAAUACAUGCAAGUCGAACGAAAAGACCCGGCUCUUGCUCCUUUCUCGUUAGGCGCAGACGUGAGUGUCACACGUGUAACCUCCCCUUAUCUUACUGGUAACUCUACGGAACAGCGGCUCAUACCGGUGAUAAUCUCCUGCUCCGUAUUGUUCGUUGGAAAAAGUCGGCUUUUCGGUCUGUUAUCGUGGCGUCUCAGCUGGUGGGUCUGGUAAUGGCUGACCAAGGCUACGAUGGGUAGCCGACCUGAGCGGGUGAUCGGCCACACGGGAACUGAGACACGGUCCAGACUCCUACGGGAGGCAGCAGUAGGGAAUCGUCCGCAAUGGGCGAAAGCCUGACGGAGCAACGCCGCGUGAGGGAUGAAGGUCUUCGGAUCGUAAAACUCGGUUAUUAGGGAAGAACAAAUGUGUAAGUAACUAUGCACGUCUUGACGGUACCUAAUCAGAAAGCCACGGCUAACUACGUG